rnacentral:rRNA from 1 species
UACGUAGGAGACAAGCGUUGUCCGGAAUUACUGGGUGUAAAGCGCGUGUAGGCGGUAGGCCAAGUCUGCUGUGAAGUCGCCCGGCUCAACUGGGCGCGGUCGGUGGAAACUGGUCAACUGGAGGACGGUAGAGGCGAGUGGAAUUCCCGGUGUAGUGGUGAAAUGCGUAGAGAUCGGGAGGAACACCAGUGGCGAAGGCGGCUCGCUGGGCCGGUCCUGACGCUGAGACGCGAAGGCGUGGGGAGCGAACGGG